rnacentral:rRNA from 1 species
CGCGUAGGCUGUUGAGUAAGUCAAUUGUGAAAUCCCCGGGCUUAACCUGGGAACUGCAUUCGAUACUGCUUAACUAGAGUAUGGUAGAGGGAAGUGGAAUUCCGGGUGUAGCGGUGAAAUGCGUAGAUAUCCGGAGGAACACCAGUGGCGAAGGCGACUUCCUGGGCCAAUACUGACGCUGAGGUGCGAAAGCGUGGGGAGCAAACA